AUGCCUCUCAUGUUCAAUCGCCACCUAAAUGAUGAUGACAUCUCUGACUCUGUGAAAAGUGAAAGGCGAAAUCUUUUGGAAGAUAAUUCAGAUGAAGAAGAGGACUUUUUUCUAAGAGGGCCAUCAGAUGAAGAAGAGAACUUUUUUCUAAGAGGGCCAUCUGGACCAAGAUUUGGACCUAGAAAUGAUAAAAUUAAGCAUGUUCAGAAUCAGGUGGAUAAAGUUAUUAAUGUCAUGCAAGAGAAUAUUACAAAGGUACUUGAGAAGGGAGAGACUAGAUGAAGUACAGGAAAAAUCAGAAAGCUUGUGGGAAAAUGCAACUGCUUUUAGCAACAGAUCCAACAGAUUCUAAGCAACAACUUAGAAGCAUGUGGUGGCAUGAAUGCCAAAUAAAAGCUAUCAUCGCUUUGGCUGCUGGUAUCCUCUUGCUAGUGAUUAUCAUUCUUAUAGUUGUGAAAUACCAUACUUGAUUUGAUGACAGAGAGGGCUUCAUUAAAAGAUCUUGGACAAUAAUAAUAAAAGAUUGCUGCAUAAUUUAAAUGAAACCUAUGUAUAUAACUUUUUAAACUUCUUUUUCAAGAAACUAAGAGUCAAGUAUCACUUCAAAUUGGAGCAUUGAGAAUGUUCAAUUAUCUUCUUCCUUUCUAAUAAAAUGUGCUUUUAAUAAUUACGUUUACGGUGAAGAUAACUAGCCUCUAUUUUGCUAUAUUCCAAGGAUCUAAUUUGAAACUAGAUACUUGCCAGUUCAUUGUUUGUGUAUAUAGUGAAACACUGAUGACGAUAUUUGAUACUAGUAUUUUAAUGGCAUAAGGACUUGCAUUGUUGUGUUAGGUUGCAGGUCAGGCUGGGAGUCAAGAAACCUAUGUGGAGUACCACAUCGUUAUGCUGAAAGAGAUGCAUAACCAUUCUGUCAAUAUUCACAAAAAUAUUAUUUUUUCAUAUUGCAGUUGUUUUGCAAGCAAUUUCCGCAUGUUUAUGGUAUAACUAAAUGUUGUAAAUGUUAUUGCCUUUAGCUAUAACUAAAAACAUUCCAGUAAAGCUAUUUUUGACUGU